UCCCUGGUGGUCCAGUGGUCAAGACUCCGCAUUUCCAAUGCAAGGGACACAGGUUCAAUCCCUGGCCAGGGAA